GACGAACGCUGGCGGCGCGCCUAACACAUGCAAGUCGAACGAGCGAGAGAGAGCUUGCUUUCUUGAGCGAGUGGCGAACGGGUGAGUAACGCGUGAGGAACCUGCCUCAAAGAGGGGGACAACAGUUGGAAACGACUGCUAAUACCGCAUAAGCCCACGGUGCCGCAUGGCACAGAGGGAAAAGGAGCAAUCCGCUUUGAGAUGGCCUCGCGUCCGAUUAGCUAGUUGGUGAGGUAACGGCCCACCAAGGCGACGAUUGGUAGCCGGACUGAGAGGUUGAACGGCCACAUUGGGACUGAGACACGGCCCAGACUCCUACGGGAGGCAGCAGUGGGGAAUAUUGCACAAUGGGGGAAACCCUGAUGCAGCGACGCCGCGUGGAGGAAGAAGGUCUUCGGAUUGGAAACUCCUGUUGUUGGGGAAGAUAAUGACGGUACCCAACAAGGAAGUGACGGCUAACUACGUG
rnacentral:rRNA from 1 species